GGGCUAUGAUGAGAUUUGAAGAAAGUCAUGCACCACUCUUAUUUACCAGUGAUGAUACACUUCUUGUACCCAUUUUAUCUGAGCCC